rnacentral:rRNA from 1 species
UCCUACGGGGGGCAGCAGUGAGGAAUAUUGGUCAAUGGCCGUAAGGCUGAACCAGCCAAGUCGCGUGAAGGAAGAAGGAUCUAUGGUUUGUAAACUUCUUUUAUAGGGGAAUAAAGGUAUCCACGUGUGGAUAUUUGCAUGUACCCUAUGAAUAAGCAUCGGCUAACUCCGUGCCAGCAGCCGCGGUAAUACGGAGGAUGCGAGCGUUAUCCGGAUUUAUUGGGUGUAAAGGGUGCGUAGACGGGUAUAUAAGUUAGUUGUGAAAUCCCUCGGCUCAACUGAGGAACUGCAACUAAAACUGUAAA